CGCAACCUCGGCCAUGUGUUCCGACCCCGCCCCAGCUGCCCUGCCGAAUCUAUUUCAAAAGGAGCAGCCCUCGACGCGUCAUGAAAGGAAUCCCAAGGGCAGCGUUUGUUUCUAACAAUAACCCUGGAGGAACGACAGAGGCAGCUGCGACACACACGCUCACGUUAACACCACUACUGUUCCAGCCAUCCAGGGUAGGAGGGGACAACUGGUGGCAGGAAUCAACCAGCUGAGCCACAGCCUCUACCAGACCUGUUUACCUGCUUCUGGCUGUAAACAAGGUCUUCAGGAACUGAAGCCUUGUAUGUGCACAUGGCUAGAGACAGCGUCAGGUUCAAGAACUGCAGGACGCCACCUUGUCACCACGGGAAAGACAAAUUGCCAGGCAGACCAUUUCAGAGAAAGCAUUCAGAGGCAAGCCGCUUGGUAAAAGUAAAAAAGAUGGACACACAGGAGGAGGCAGAAGGGGAGUUGGGACGUGGUUUCAUCAAAAGCUGUGCGCAGUUUUUUUAUUGUAGUAUUCUAAAUGUACAUAAAAAAAACAAAGUCUGCCCAUGUCCUAGAACCAUUAUGAAAGUUAACGCACAAAUUCAAUAUACAUCUCAUUGUAUUUUACAUAAG